rnacentral:tRNA from 1 species
UCCCUGGUGACUCAGUGGUAAAGAAUCUGCCUGCAAUGCGGGAGACCUGGGUUCAAUUCCUGGUCUGGAAA